GUUGCGGUUAAAAAGCUCGUAGUUGGAUUUCUGUUGAGGGCGACCGGUGUACACCUCGUGUAUUAUUUGGUUCGGUCUCGGCAUCCUCUUGGGGAACGUUUCUGGACUUUAUUGGACAGGGCGAGAUUCAAGACUUUUACUUUGAGGAAAUUAGAGUGUUCACGGCAGGCAAGCGCUUUGAAUACAUUAGCAUGGAAUAAUAAUAUAGGACCUUCGUUCUAUUUUGUUGGUUUCUAGAACUUAGGUAAUGAUUAAUAGGGACAAUUGGGGGCAUUCGUAUUAACGCGUCAGAGGUGGAAUUCUUGGAUUGCGUUACGACGAACUACUGCGAAAGCAUUUGCCAAAGAUGUUUUCAUUGAUCAAGAACGAAAGUAUGGGGAUCGAAGACGCUUAGAUACCGUCGUAGUCUAUACCAUAAACUAUGCCAACUAGAGAUUGGUGGGGUUCUCCUAUUUGGCUCCAUCAGCAUCUUAUGAGAAAUCAAAGUCUU
rnacentral:rRNA from 1 species